rnacentral:rRNA from 1 species
ACGAACGCUGGCGGCGUGCUUAACACAUGCAAGUCGAACGGAAAGGCCCUGCUUUUGUGGGGUGCUCGAGUGGCGAACGGGUGAGUAACACGUGAGUAACCUGCCCUUGACUUUGGGAUAACUUCAGGAAACUGGGGCUAAUACCGGAUAGGAGCUCCUGCUGCAUGGUGGGGGUUGGAAAGUUUCGGCGGUUGGGGAUGGACUCGCGGCUUAUCAGCUUGUUGGUGGGGUAGUGGCUUACCAAGGCUUUGACGGGUAGCCGGCCUGAGAGGGUGACCGGCCACAUUGGGACUGAGAUACGGCCCAGACUCCUACGGGAGGCAGCAGUGGGGAAUAUUGCACAAUGGGCGGAAGCCUGAUGCAGCAACGCCGCGUGCGGGAUGACGGCGUUCGGGUUGUAAACCGCUUUCGCCUGUGACGAAGCGUGAGUGACGGUAAUGGGUAAAGAAGCACCGGCUAACUACGUG